rnacentral:rRNA from 1 species
CGACCUGAGCUCAGGCAAGACUACCCGCUGAACUUAAGCAUAUCACUAAGCGGAGGAAAAGAAACUAACUAGGAUGCCCUUAGUAACGGCGAGCGAACCGGGCAGAGCCCAACUUGAAAAUCUCCAGCCUCCGGCUGGCGAAUUGUAGUCUAGAGAAGUGCUCUCUGCCGC